rnacentral:rRNA from 1 species
AUUGAACGCUGGCGGCAUGCUUUACACAUGCAAGUCGAACGGUAACAGGCCGCAAGGUGCUGACGAGUGGCGAACGGGUGAGUAAUGCAUCGGAACGUGCCCAGUCGUGGGGGAUAACUACUCGAAAGGGUAGCUAAUACCGCAUACGAUCUAUGGAUGAAAGCGGGGGACCGUAAGGCCUCGCGCGAUUGGAGCGGCCGAUGUCAGAUUAGGUAGUUGGUGGGGUAAAGGCUCACCAAGCCAACGAUCUGUAGCUGGGCUGAGAGGACGACCAGCCACACUGGGACUGAGACACGGCCCAGACUCCUACGGGAGGCAGCAGUGGGGAAUUUUGGACAGUGGGCGCAAGCCUGAUCCAGCAAUGCCGCGUGCAGGAAGAAGGCCUUCGGGUUGUAAACUGCUUUUGUACGGAACGAAACGGCUCUGGUUAAUACCCGGGGCUAAUGACGGUACCGUAAGAAUAAGCAUCGGCUAACUACGU